rnacentral:rRNA from 1 species
CCUACGGGCGGCUGCAGUAGGGAAUUUUCGUCAAUGCUCGCAAGACUGAACGAGCAAUGCCGCGUGAACGAGGAAGGUCUUCGGAUCGUAAAGUUCUGUUGACGGGGAAAAAAAGCGGAGAGAGGAAAUGCUUUCUGAUUGAUAUUACCCUUCGAGGAAGUCACGGCUAACUACGUGCCAGCAGCCGCGGUAAUACGUAGGUGGCGAGCGUUAUCCGGAGUGAUUGGGCGUAAAGGGUGCGUAGGCGGCCUGCUAAGUCUGGAGUGAAAGGUAGCGGCUCAACCGGGACAGGCUAUGGAAACUGGCGGGCUAGAGGGCAGGAGAGGGCGGUAGAACUCCAUGUGUAGCGGUAAAAUGCGUAGAUAUAUGGAAGAACACCAGUGGCGAAGGCGGCCGCCUGGCCUGUUACUGACGCUGAGGCACGAAAGCGUGGGGAGCAAAUAGGAUUAGAUACCCCGGUAGUC